AUAUGACUCAAUUACAGCCAAUGAGACUCAAUUCUGGGGGUUUGAUCUCAACUUUGGAGAGGGGAUACUUUCUCUUUUCUGGUACUUGAGAUGGGAUGUAAGCCACGUGGGGUGUUGAGCCUCUCUGAGACUGGAGCUCGUACAGAAGACAGCAGUAUGGAGUGAUGGAGUCAGGGAGGAGACAUCCUGAUAGUAUUGGAGCUCCUGGAUCCAGCUGUACAUGAAGUAAGACUGCUAUCUGGACUUAAGGGAUGUGUUGGCCAACUUUUGCCUAAGUCAGUUUGAGUUGUCUUUCUAUCACUUAGAUGAUUCACUCCCUCUUGCCUGCUGUGUGGUCAGGUUGGUCCCAGGAGAUGCUCUGGUGAAGCCCAGCACCUAUCACCAGACUUCCACCGUGAAGUUCUCCAUCCAAGGUGCCCUUCAUCACAGGGCAGCCGUGGGAGGCAGAGGAUUGAGAGCAACAACAGUAGCCCCACAUAGCAUUCCUGAGCACUGGUGCACUGUUAGGUCCUGUGGUUAAGAUUUCCACAUCUAUUUACUCCUUUUGUCCUAUAACAACUCUGCGAAGUAGAUUCCAUGAACUCCAGGCUGAAAUCGUCCAUCUACUUCUAGGCCAACUGUCCCAAAUCGCCAACCAGAGGCAAAGAGAAGGCUCCAGUUAAACAGCAAAGGCUGCUUCCCACUCCAUUUUGUCUCUCUUGUAAAUGGGUAGACUUCCUAGGGGGCAGGCUCUUUCUAAGAACAGCUGAGCCUGGGUAUUAGCAAACCCCUCUCCCUAUGCUUUCUUUUUUUUUAAAAUUUUUAAAAAAUGUUUAUUUUUGAGAGAGAGAGAGAGAGAGAGACAGAGCGCAAGCUGGAAAGGGGCAGAGAGAGAGACACACACAGAAUCUGAAGCAGGCUUUGGGCUCUGAGCCUUUAGCACAGAGCCUGAUGCAGGGCUCGAACCCACAAACUGCGAGAUCAGGACCUGAGCCCAAGUCAGACGCUCAAUGGACUGAGCCACCUAGGCGCCCCUCCCUAUGCUUUCUCAUAACACUGCCAGCAUCUUGAAAUAAAGGGCCUAAGGGCAGCUUCCUUUGGCCUGGUAGUGGACUCAGCACCUUCGGCAGUGUUGGCCCUCAAGAUUGACAGAUGGGUUGACCCACUGGCUGUGGCCAUCUUUGCCAUCUGUGUUCAUUUAUUCAUUCAACAAAUACUCAUUGAGUGCCAGGUAUAUGCCAAAUCCCAUUCCAAGCACUGGGGAUAGAAUAGUGAACAACACUGGGGGCAGUCCCUGCCUCCAGGUUGCUGACAGUCUUGUCAGGGAGGCACACAUUAAACAAAUAAUUGCACAUGUAAUUAUUUAAUUACAAGCAUGAUAAGCACUGAGAAGGAACAGUUCAGGCUGUUAUGAAAGUGUGCAACAGAGACAUCUAAACCCGUCGGCUAACUGUCUGACCAAGCAACUUCAUUCGCUUCCUAGGUAUUUUUUGAUUGACUAUUCGGUGCUAGGCACUGUGUUGGGUGCUGAGUGCUGGGCAGAGUGGGGAAGCAGACAUAGCCCCUGCCCACGAAGAGAUCGCUGUGCAUAGCAAAUACACCAUCUGACCGGCUGUGUCUCCAGCCUGCAGCCUGUGAGCAGCUACAAGUCGACAGCUUUGAUACCGGCUUGAAAGAACAACUUCGCUCCUGCUUCUACAGGAGAACCAAAUACAUUUA
rnacentral:lncRNA from 1 species